rnacentral:rRNA from 1 species
UACGAAGGGGGCUAGCGUUGCUCGGAAUUACUGGGCGUAAAGCGCACGUAGGCGGUCUUUUAAGUCGGGGGUGAAAUCCUGGAGCUCAACUCCAGAACUGCCUUCGAUACUGGAAGACUCGAGUCCGGGAGAGGUGAGUGGAACUGCGAGUGUAGAGGUGAAAUUCGUAGAUAUUCGCAAGAACACCAGUGGCGAAGGUGGCCCACUGGCCCGGUACUGACGCUGAGGUGCGAAAGCGUGGGGAGCAAACAGG